CAAAAUGUUCUCCAUAUUAGUAUGGCUCAUACCAACUUAACAUCAUCUUUGGUAUGAGUCAGACUUUUACACCAAAAAUUCCAUACAAAACGAGCACAUUUUUGAUGUGAAUUUUUUCAUGGGUUCAUCCAAAUGCGUAGAAACUUGAUAAGGAAUGGUCUGAUGUGGCACUUUACAUCAGUUGCUGCUAUUUUUAAUUUUGAAGUUUCAGUUAAAAAACGCUUCUCCUCGGCAUCGGUCGCACAUUUAAAGUGCUCUCAUUGCACGGCAGUGCAAUUGUGACCUUGAGAAAAAAAAGUGACUAAAAUAUGUUUCGAACCUACGAUUUUAGUCAUAUUUUGAUUUAAAAGUCGCUUCCAAUCAGACUGCAAUAAUUUCGAAUCAAAAUGAUAACCGAGCGAAAAGGUGGAGACUUUUCAAUUCAACGUACGAAGGGAGGCCGAAACAUUGGCCAAAGUACCCGCCACAGUGUGAAUGGGAGAGGAUUUUAUCUCACCUUGGAGUUCCAGUCUCAAACUGCCGAUCAUCACAUCAUCUCAAAUGAUACUUCGUAGUGAAGGAGUUUUUCUUUUUUUCUCGUCACUUCCAAGUUAAAUCAUAUCCAUCGCAGUCAUUUUUUGUGUGAAAUCUUCAAAGUGAUACAUUUCAAGGCAUAAUUUGUGCACCAGUUGUUUUGUCAUUACAUCUUCACGUAGGAGAAAUGCUACGGACAAUUUUCUUUUUCUACAUAAAAAUUGCAAAGAAAAUAUGAUCGGCUUUUCUUUGAAGUGCAGUUGUACUUUUGAGAUCUAAUGUGUGGAUGAGAAUUUUAAACCAAUUAAUGAAUAACAAAUAAUGUUUGCGAUUUGAA